rnacentral:rRNA from 1 species
UACGUAGGGAGCAAGCGUUGUCCGGAAUCAUUGGGCGUAAAGCGCGCGUAGGUGGCUUCGUAAGUCCGUUGUGAAAGUCAAAGGCUCAACCUUUGAAAGCCGAUGGAUACUGCGGAGCUAGAGUACGGAAGAGGCGAGUGGAAUUCCUGGUGUAGCGGUGGAAUGCGCAGAUAGUCAGGAGGAACACCAAUAGCGAAGGCAGCUCGCUGGGACGUACUGACACUGAGGCGCGGAAAGCGUGGGGAGCGAACAGG